rnacentral:miRNA from 1 species
AUACUGCAUCAGGAACUGAUUGGAU